AACCACCAUCGUCUCUGGGCCGGGACCAGGAGAGGCUGACAGAACUCUUGGUCACAUCUAGUACUUCUGGGGGAUUGCUUGGAGGCUCGGGAGGGUCUAGGAAUGUAAGUGGAAAACACAUGUGUUAGAAUGCAGUCCCAACUCUAGUAAGCUGGUGGCUUUCCUUUCGAAACAAAAGAGCACUGAGAGGAUUUUUACAGUGUUAUGGUUGGAAGAGCACUUACUCAGUGGUGUUUUUGGUAUGACUGGUUCCUCAGAUUUCAAGGGUUUGCUUAUUCCAAACUGGUUUUCUGCUGAAACACGGAAAUGGUACUCCACAUUUUCUUUGAGGCCUUUUACAACCAGAGAUGUACCUCGGACUCUGGAGUCGAUGGUGUACCAGGCGGCUUUAGGCACUUCUCGUCUCUCGAGGAUGUAGCCUAAGAUGUCAGCACCACCAUCAUCGGCAGGGGGUCUCCAACUGACCCUUACAGAGCGAGCUUGUAUGUCGUCAUAUUCAAGUGGUCCUUCUGGAGUGUUGGGACUUCCUAUCACCCUGACCUUGAUGUAGACAGCCUUCUUGCCACAUUUGUUUUCCAGAACCAGGUCGUAAGUGCCAGAAUCAUCCCUGUCUGCUUCUUUGAUUACAAGCUCAGUGUGAGUUUCAGAGGUUGCAAUCAUGGCACGCUUACUAAUAUCUUGGCCUUCCUUGGUCCAUUUACAUAUUGGGAAUGGUUUUCCUUUGAUUGGUAUGGUAAGUCUGAUGACCCCACCUUGUCUUACACAGAUACCUUCCUGGUAUCUUUCAUCAAGUUCAUAGUCAGGAUAUUCUGGGAAGAAAGGUAGGGUUACAAUUAGCAUUUUGGGAGGCGGGUGUAGGAAAUAAGUCUUAAGGCAAUUACAGCAGAAAGUGAAUGAUCAUAUGUCUUACCAAGCAUUUCCGUGACUUUGACUGUUCCUGGUACCUCAGCGGGCUCCCCAGGUCCACCAGCGUUACAAGCUAGGACACGGAAUCUGUAUUCAGCGCCCUGAGGUAGGUGUGUGAGAGUAUACUCCCGAAUCUUGGUUGGGGUGGUGUUGCAUUUGGUCCAUUCGUAUUGAUCAACUUUUUGCAUUUCGAUCAAGUAGCCUGUGACUUUAGAUCCUCCUUCGUCUUCUGGAACACUCCAGGCCAGGGAGACUGAUGUCCUUGUUGUAUCAGUAACUCUUGGGUUUUGUGGCUUUCCUGGAGGAGCUGGAAAUAAGAAUAAGACAACAACAUACUUGUUAAAGUUUCUGCAAAGUUGAAAAUCAAAUGCACCACCUAACAAUUUCAGUGAGUUGUGGAAACAUGGACUAUAACAGUAGAAUAUUUUUCAUUUUGUAAAUGUUUAAUUCAUUUUAAUCAGUUAACAUUACUUAAAGCUCUUGGUUUUUCCUUGUCUUAUUUGUGCUUUGUUUAUAAUCACUAAUACUAUCUUACAUUUACCAUCAGUUUUUAAAGUGCUUCCAGAAAUAUUAACUUGCUUUACAAUUUUAACUGUGAUAUAGGGUGUGUAUUGUGAGUUCCAUUUUAAAGCGGGAGAAAUAGACUCAAGAGAAGAAUAUAAAAAGUUAUUUGCCCAAAGUUGCCUGGGGUUGGAGUGGGGAGGGGAUUGAUGACAGAGGACACAACUUUUUGAGCUGUUGGAAAUAUUCUAUAUUUUGAUUGUGGUGGUGGUUAUACAAAACUUAUAGAAUUCCGUAUUUCAGAAGGGUGACUGUUACCACAUUAAAUUAUACCUCAAUAAACUUAUACAAAAGGUAUUUACCAAUUGGAUCCAUGGCAAUGGUGGGUUUGGAAGGACGGCUUGGUUUUCCAGUUCCUCUCGCGUUAAUGGCUGUGACACGGUGUUCAUAUUCUAAGCCUUCAGUAAGGCCAGUGGAACGGUACCGUGUCAUCGUCACUGGUACUUUAUUUACACGGACCCAUCGAUCUGCUCUCACUUCUUUGCGCUCCACGAUGUAUCCAGUCACUUGGGAGCCACCGUCAUCUUCUGGUGGGUACCAAGUAAGUGUCAUGCCCUCACGUGAGACAUCAAAUAUCUGUAAUGUUUCUGGAGGUCCAGGAAUAUCUGCAGCAAGACAGAGGUAAACACAACAUGGCACCAUGAAUAAAUUGAAGACUCAUACAUUUGUAUAAGUGUGUCUUGCAUAUACCAUCUUAAAAUGGUACAUAUAAGACUCUUGCAACUGUUUUUCUCGUGUUUUCAUUUUUGUACUUUUCUUGCUGUUCCUCAUUUUCUUCCAUUUUAUAAACAUUUAUUAAGCAUGUAUUCUGUAUUGUUUCUCACUGUAACCGCCAGUCCUCCCUCCCCCCUUUCCUUCCAUCCAUCCUUCCCUAACUCCCUCCUCUCUUUCUUCCAUUAAAAAAACCCCAACCAUGUUGAAAACUUCCAAGAAAAGGAGAUUUAGAAACCUUGGAAAGACCCUGGGAUUAACUUUGUGACCUAUUUUUACUUACAUAAGGGUAUAUUAAGAAUAAAUUCCCUCUUGUUAAUAUUUAGAAUCAGAGGUGGGGAGAGUCGGGGGCGGGCGUCCAGGACUUACUGAUGCGGCUGCGACAUUCUAUGACCUCAGAUUGCAAGUACGAGCCGAUCCCGAAGCGGUUUGUCGCAGCGAUACGGAACACAUACUCAUUUCCUUCAGUGAGCCUGGUAAACUUAAAUGUUGGUCUAGUCACUGAUUCAGACACUGGCAGCCACCCUGGACGGUGGGCAUCACGUUGUUCUACCACGUAGCCACUCAGUGGAGCACCACCAUCCAGUUCAGGCGGUCCCCAGGAAAUGGUCACCCAAGUAGCAUCAAUUUCUUCAAUCUUGACAGGCCCAGUUGGUGGACCAGGCUUGUCUAUGA
rnacentral:lncRNA from 1 species